rnacentral:lncRNA from 1 species
CCCUACUCUAAUAAGGCUUUUGAUAUCUGGAGCUCAUAGGUGGGAGAUAAAGUAUACAUACUUACAAGACAUUUAUUGCAUAGUCAAACUAUGGAUCCAAAGAAACAAGUCAAUAAGUCAAAUCAAGAUGUGCAUGUGUGGCGAAUGAAUGGUGUAUGGUGAUGAUGUUGAUAACAAUGGUGAAAGUCUAAUUCUACUUGUGCUCUUUUGAGGGGAUACAUACCUUUCUUGCUCUUUUGAAAUUCGAGGAAAAUGAGAUGCUCUAUAUUUUCUUUUUCUUUCCUCUCAGAUGGGUAUCUUGUACCCCUAAUUCUACUGUCGGACACUUGUCCAUUUUUACCUCUCAUCUCACUUUUUCUUUUCUUUCGAGGUUCCGGACACUUGCACCUUUUUAUUUCCUCGUAUUUUUUCUCUUUUUUUAGAGCACUCAUCUCUUGAAAUAAUAUAGCAAGUGGUAGUAACCAAGAUAACUUGAGCAUUUAUUUCACAGGGGAAAACAGAAAUGGGAUAAUGUUUUUGGUUAUUCUCUCCCGGAUUAGGAGUAGAAUACUUUUGGGUGGAUAUAUGUGGAUGCGUACUUCCGGAGUAGAAGCAGCAUAUGAGAGUGAACGUGCAAGUGAAUCUUGAUUUUAACCACAUGACAAGCUCCUAAGGGUCUAUAACCACACUCAAUGCUCAUAAGCAGUAAACAGUAAAUGUGUGGCUCAAAGUCUAGCAAGCAUGUAUAUAUGGCUGUGGUAGGAAUUUAAACUCUCAUCAUACAGGAACUCAUCAUAUGAUGUUUUAAAGAUUUUCAAAGAUAAAAUUCUCCAGAAUUUCUAGCAUCUCUAGGAACAGAUAAACAGCAGCUCAACCUUCCCAUAUCAUAUCCGUUAACAACUUAGACUUC